rnacentral:rRNA from 1 species
AUUGAACGCUGGCGGCAUGCCUUACACAUGCAAGUCGAACGGUAACAGGGAGCUUGCUCCGCUGACGAGUGGCGAACGGGUGAGUAAUGUAUCGGAACGUACCUUUUAGUGGGGGAUAACGUAGCGAAAGUUACGCUAAUACCGCAUAUUCUCUGAGGAGGAAAGCAGGGGACCUUCGGGCCUUGCGCUAAUAGAGCGGCUGAUAUCAGAUUAGCUAGUUGGUGAGGUAAAGGCUCACCAAGGCGACGAUCUGUAGCGGGUCUGAGAGGCUGAUCAGCCACACUGGAAGUGAGACACGGUCCAGACUCCUACGGGAGGCAGCAGUGGGGAAUUUUGGACAAUGGGGGCAACCCUGAUCCAGCCAGGCCGCGUGAGUGAAGAAGGCCUUCGGGUUGUAAAGCUCUUUCGGCCGGGAAAAAAUCGCAUGGGCUAAUACCCUGUGUGGAUGAUGGUACCGGAAUAAGAAGCACCGGCUAACUACGUGCCAGCAGCCGCCGUAA